AUUCCGAACCCGGAAGCUAAGACCCACAGCGCCGAUGGUACUGCAUCCGGGAGGAUGUGGGAGAGUAGGUCACCGCCGGAC
rnacentral:rRNA from 1 species